ensembl:lncRNA
AUCGUACUGAAUAUUGCAUUGUAGCACCAGUCUGUCAGACAUAUAUUCUAAUGUGCCCCUCUCUGUCUCCACCCUCCCUUCUCUCUCUACAGAUUCCACUUCCCACCCUGAUGGCCAAAGAGACGGAAGAUGUAGCCUAAUGUGUGUGUGCAUCUGUUGUGUGUGUUUAUAUGUGUGUGUUUUUGUACAUGUUGCGUGGGUGCUCACUGGCUGACCCACAUCUGUUGUGUGUGUUUUUGUACAUGUUGCGUGGGUGCUCACUGGCUGACCCACAGCAGUUCUUCACUGGCAAGCUUUAUGUCCUUGUGUACCAACUAAAGCUGCCAGCUGAAGAACUGUUGUGGUUAGCUCUUUCCUGCAUCCCACACAAAAGACCAACAGACGCCUUCGAGAAAUAUGUGUGUGUGUGUGUGUCCAGAUGCCAUGCAUGGGAUCAGUGAAUUCUCCAUCCAGAUGAUCCAUAUAGCAACCUGUCAUGGUAGCAGUGUACAGCAUGUUUAGAGGUAAACACAGCAUACAUGAAACCUAUGGCUAAAACAGAAUAGCUAGCUAUCCAAGACAUCUGUUAUGAUGCAAUAGGUCUCAGUUAAGAACACAUGAACCCACUGCACUCAAAUGUAAUGUUUUCAUUAAGUAGGAAGUAUGAAAAAUGCUUACAAACUAUGAAGUAUGUUUACUAAGUAUGAAGUUUGCUUACUAAAUAUGAAGUAUGAUCACGAAGUAGAAAGUACGCUUACUUGAAGUAUGCUUAUUGAAGAUUUUACUGUAUGUGUGCUGUAUUUUGCUCUAUUUACAGUAUGUUGUAUUUAGCUUUAUCUAUGUUUACUCAACAGAGUUGUAUCUAUGCUUUCAUGUACAAUGUGAGAUCUUUUGUACCAAACAGUCAGCAUCAACUGCCCCCACAAAUGGCCGCUGUAUUCUACUCAGGCAUUAACAGAGACGACUGCACAUUGAUGCUACUGUACAUGCGGAGUCAGCCAACAUUCCACACCCCAGCCAGGACCCGCCUGCUGCCCUUUUAUGGGUUGAAGCUGCAUGGUCGGGCAUCAUGGGUGCUGCAUUGUAUAUCAGAAAAAAACAUCUCUAGGUUAAUUUCUUAUGCUACUCAAAACCAAGAAAAAGUAGAAUGAUAGGAAGGUAGAUGGACUGGCUACUCAAAAGCUAGAAGUAUGUAAAAACAUAGGAUGAUUGAUGUAGGGAAGAACGAUACAGUACGAUAGAUUUGGGAAAGAGAGAAGGAUAGGAGGAUAGAUGGAGGCAAAGAGGACAAGAAAAUAGGUCAGGAGGAUAGAUGGAGGGAAGGAUAGGAGGAUAGAUGGAGGGAAGGUUAGGAGGAUAGAUGGAGGGACGAUCAAGAGGAUAGAUGGAGGGAAGGUUAGGAGGAUAGAUGGAGGGAAGGUUAGGAGGAUAGAUUGAGGGAAGGUUAGGAGGAUAGAUGGAGGGACGAUCAAGAGGAUAAAUGGAGGGAAGGUUAGGAGGAUAUAUUGAGGGAAGGUUAGGAGGAUAGAUGGAGGGAGGGAAGGUUAGGAGGAUAGAUGGAGGGAAAGUUAGGAGGAUAGAUGGAGGGACGAUCAAGAGGAUAGAUGGAGGGGAGGUUAGGAGGAUAGAUGGAGGGAGGGAAGGUUAGGAGGAUAGAUGGAGGGAAGGUCAGGAGGAUAGAUGAGGGAUGGUUAGGAGGAUAGAUUGAGGGAAGGUUAGGAGGAUAGAUUGAGGGAAGGUUAGGAGGAUAGAUGGAGGGACGAUCAAGAGGAUAGAUGGAGGGAAGGUUAGGAGGAUAGAUGGAGGGAAGGUCAAGUGGAUAGAUGGAGGGAAGUUUAAGAGGAUAGAAUGAUGGAUGAAAGGGAAAGAAGGAGGGAGGGAGAACAAGGUAAGGACAGACAACAAACAGCAUGACAAAAACAGCCUCCUGACAUGCUAGUAAAAGGAGAAGUGUGGCUUUGUUCCAGACUGUUGUGUGUGUGUGUGUUCUCUGGAGCAGAGCCCAGUGUUCUGACAUGUGUUUCUGUUUAUUAAUGAGUCUGGAGGCGCUGCCAAUGAAUGAUGAGUUUCCUUUCUCUCUCCCUCUGUUCUCCUUUUCUCUGUCCUCUCUUUCUCUGUCUCUCUCUCUCUCUUUGACCUCUUUCUCUCUCUCUGUGUCACACACACCCACAUGCACACACACACAUGCACACACAAUCUUGUACAGCUAACCUUGUGGGGAUACACAAUUCAGUUCCAUUCAAAGUUCUAUUUUCCCUAAUCCCUAAAUGAAACCCUAACCCUAACCUUAACCCAAAAACCGAACCUUAACUCUAACCCUAAAACUAACCUCAGCUCCUAACCGUAAGCCUUAACGUAAUUCUAACCCUAACACUAAUUCUAACCUUAAUCAUAAACCCCUUAGAAAUAGCAUUUGAACUUGUGGGGACAAACAAAAUAUCCACAGUUGGUCACAUUUUUGUUGUUUACAAUUCUUGUGGGGACUUCUGUUAAACACGUCCACACCCACACACACACUACAUCCCAGCGCCUGACCCUCAGCACGCCAUAAAUCUGACUUCAAGGGCGGUGUCGGCGUUGGCGAGAACAGGAUAUGAGAGCGUGGCCCUCUCAAAAUCUUCCCCUCCAGAUGAGAACAAAAUGUAGAGAAUGUUCCAGAUGCCGCGGCCGCUACAGUCUAGGAACAUGUGGAGCCAAGAGCUGGAAAACGAGCAGCCCUUCCUAUCUUUUCCCCCUUCUUUCCAUGCAUUUUCUCUCUGUUGUCUAACUUAUCCGUCUCUGUUUUUGGGCUGUUGGUAGGCUAGCUUUUUGUUUCGUACUGUUAUCUCUUUGAUAGUGUCUCCUUAUCUUGUUAUCUUGUCACUCUCCUCUUCCUUCCACUUCUGUCUAGCAUCUUAAAACACACACACACACACACAUUGAGGUAGAGACAAACACACACACACACACACACACAAACACACACACACACACACACAUUGAGGUAAACACACACACACACAUUGAGACAAACACACACACACACACAAACACACACACACACACACACAUUGAGGUAGAGACAAACAUACACACACACACACACACACAUUGAGGUAGAGACAAACACACACACACACACACACACACAUUGAGGUAGAGACAAACAAACACACACACACACACACACACACACAUUGAGGUAGAGACAAACACACACACACACACACACACAUUGAGGUAGAGACAAACACACACACACACACACACAUUGAGGUAGAGACAAACACACACACACACAAACAUACAUAUGUACAAACACACAAAGACAGAGUGACACACACACACACACACACAUUGAGGUAGAGACAAACACACACACACACACAUACAUAUGUACAAACACACAAAGACAGAGUGACACACACACACACAUCCCUCAGACAGGAUUAUCCCACUCUCACAAGUUGAUCCUCUCUGGCAAGCACUGCCAGUCCCCUCUGAGCAUGGAACAGAAGCACUACUGUCAGGGCAGAGCUGUGACCUAGAGAGUAGUAUGUCUGUGUGUGUGUGUGGGUCUCUGUUUGUGUGUGUGUAUCCCUCUGUGUGUUUGUGUGUGUGUGUCUCCCGUUGUUUGUUUGGGUGUGUCAGGUCACAGGCCAAGGUCUCCAACCUGAUCCGCUCUGAGGCAAUCGGCCUGCGAGUGCAUUAAGAGAUUGCGGGGGGGACGCCGAGCCGAGGCUCACUGGCUCGACUUAAAGACAUACACAUAAUCCUGGCUGCUCUGCUGUGGUCUGCUCCACCUGACAAGGAUAAGUGUGGCAGGUGUGUCUGUCAGGGACUGUGUGUGUGUGUGUGUGUGUGUGUGUGUGUGUGUGUGUGUGUUUGUGCGUAUCCUCUCUGAGCUGUACCCCACCUACGCCCUCUCAGGCGUGCCCCUGUCCUUGGACACCCUUACCCGCCCUAGAGUCACUUCAUCUGCCAACUGGAUAAAGAGAGAGAGAGAUAAGGAGGGGUACACAGAGAGAGGGAGAGCGAGACAGAGAGCGAGACAGAGGUAGUCAGACAGACGGAGGGAGAGAGGGAACCAGCCAGUAGAGAGACGUGACAGGACAGAGGUUACCCCACACCCUGAUGUCAUCCUUCCCAGCCUGACCACACAAAGCAUGGUCAGUUAGCUAUAGUCACAAAGCACACCAACACUUAACCAUGCAUUUAAACUAUGGACGCUUGAGAUCUGCAAGUGUACGGUAUGUGUUUAUAAGGUAUGCUACAUAAUUCCACUGUAUGUCACUUGGACUGUGUUCAUUUUGAUAAUAAAUGGAAUUGCACAGAGAGAAAAC